rnacentral:rRNA from 1 species
AUUUAAACUAGGAUUAGAUACCCUAUUAUUUAAAAUGUAAAUAAUAAAGCUAAGGUAGUAGUAGUUAUGUUCUUGAAACUUAAAAAAUUUGGCGGUAUUUUAGUCUAUUCAGAGGAACCUGUUCUGUAAUCGAUAAUCCACGAUGGACCUUACUUAAGUUUGUAAUCAGUUUAUAUACCGUCGUUAUUAGAAUAUUUUACAAGAAUGUUAAUUUUCUAAAUUUUUUUAAGAAAGUAUAUCAGAUCAAGGUGUAGCUAAUAUUUAAGUAGAAAUGGGUUACAAUAAAUUUAUUUAUACGGAUAUAAAUUUGAAAUAUUUAUUGAAGGUGGAUUUGAUAGUAAAAUUAUAAAGAUAAAUA